UCUUCCUCAGCAAAAAAGAGGAGGAUUGGUGGCAGAUGUUAGCUCAGGGCUAAUCUUCCUCAAAAAAAACAAAAAGUGGCUAAAGAAAUCGACCAUUCUUCUUGUUAUUACUGAUGGGAACGGCCCUGGCUUCCUCAUCUGGAGAGGGCCUUGACAUUGUCUACAACUAUCUGUGAGGUAUUCGGGGGCAUUGUAUUGUCCCCACUUAAUAGACAAGGAAAUGGAGACCAAGACGUGCUAAGAGAAUUAGGCAAGGCCAGGGGUACACUUAGGCCUUGAACCAGAGCUUGAAGCUCAGUCAAUGUCUUUGCCACCAGCUUCAGACAGUUCUGCAUGAUGCACUUUUCUCCUCACUGUUCUCUGACGUUGAGAAACCUAACAUUUUCUACUUCUCUUGCCCCUGCUUGUCCCAGCGUAGCUGCUCAAGUAAUAAACACUCCUUAAAUAGGAAAGAAUGCUGGGAUAGGAAUCUGGGGGUUUCCUGUGACCCUCCCCCAGGCAAGCUGGCCUGAACUAUGGCAGCUCCCAGGGGCUCCAUGCCAGGCAGGCCUGGCUCUCCCAUGCCCACUCCCCAACCCAGCCUUUGGGUCUGCCCCAGUGAUCUGGCAGGAAUGGGCACUGCAGUGCCGGCCAUUUUGAGCUAGCAGGCUCCCCAUGCCAAUCUUGGAGAGAGGACAGCCCAGGGAGCCGGCAUGAUGAAGACCCCCAAUCAUAAGGCAAGUGGCCUGCAGCCAGGCCUCUGCUGAAGCCUUCCCCUGGGCCGCCCCCGGGCCACAAGUGGGCGUCCUGGGGGGCUUCUCUGCUGCAGACCCUGCUGUGCUCCUGAGUUUGUGAUCUGUCCUUGGAGAGGGGCAAUCAGUUCUUCCUGUGACUGCGUGGUGACAGCUCCCACGCAGCCAACCGUGGCUGCAGGGGGAGCUGUGCAUCAGGGAAAGUGGGUGCAACCAAGACAGGGCUGUGUGUGAAUGUGCACAUGUGCAUGCAAGCAGUACAACGAAUGCCGCCUGGAUUUUCAUUUUUGCUUGAGGCAAACACGACGACAUUUCCACAGUCUUGGAGUCAGACGAACCUGAGUUCAAAACCUUGGAAGGUUGCUUACUUUGCAGAUGAUCUUGGCAAAUGAACUUCCCCUAAACCUCACGUUUUUUAUCUUAAAAUGGGGAGGAUAACACCUGCCCGCAGGAUUUGAAGUAAAAUGCUUGCAAGGCACCCACUCAUGACUGGCAGGCAGUAAAUAUUCAAUAAAUGCCAACCGUCAUCACUGUUGCUCUUAGUGCCAACCUUGAGUGUGCCCAGUCUGGUUAUUAUUGUCCCUGUGAUGUGACGCUGUUUCCCCAUGCCCUGCAGAGCCGCCAGCUGACAUUAUGAUGUCUCCAAGUGCUGCAGAACCCAGUGCUCUCCGCAUCGGAAAGGAGCCUUCCUCCUUGGGGUGGAGCCUGUGUCCACCAGCGGCCCCAGAGGAGGAGCAGCCAUCGCAGCGAGGGUCCAGGGCUCCACAGGCAGCGGGGUGCGGGGAGGGCCAGGAUGCUGCAUCUCCGUGGAAGCCACUUGUCUCUUCUCUUUAGAAGAACCUACGAGGCUCCCCAGGUCCUGCCCUGGAUUGGCAGUUUGUGACGGCCAGAGGAGACUUUUCAGACACUCCUUCUAGAGAUGGGCAAAGGGACACAGCGAGUUUUGAGGUCCAGGGUUUUGGAUCUCGAUUCCAGCACCAUUUUCCCCUUAUGCGGUCUCUAGGGGGAUCAAGCCCAAAUUCUUAUCUAGGCACCUGAGCCCCUGCUCUCCCCAUCCUCUCACUCACGCAGCCUCAUUCUCCCCGUUCUCUGCUGGGUACCGUCUGCGCCUGCCAGGCUGGCGUCUUCUGAGCCAUCCCACUGCCCCUCCACCUGCCCUUCCCAGUCUCUGCCCACCCACACCCGUCCGGCCCCAGCCUCCUUCAGGAUGGCCACCACGUCUGCUGGAGCCAGAAGCCUAAUUACAAGUGGCCUCAUCUUGUUCCCUGACCUUCUCCUUGCCUAGUGCUGCCUCUGCAGCCAGACUGAGGGUCCCUGGGGGCAGGUGAUUGGCUGAGUGGAGGAAGCACUAUUCCCAUCAGAGGUUUGGACCUGCACAGACACUCAGCAAACAACAAGUUUCUGAGCACACGGAACCAGCUCUCAGAUCGCAGUGGGAGGCGCUGUCUCUUCCCAGCUAUGUGACCUCGGGCAGGCUCCUGAAUCUCCAGGCUUCAAUCUCCUCCUCUGCAAAAUAGGGGAUAUGGCAAACAAAUGCUUAAUUGCACCUUUUUAAAAGGCAGCCUCCCUCGAAAAGGCCUUUUAAUGUGUGGGUAUGGAUUUCGGGGGUGCCCGCCUAACAAAAGCAGGGCCCCCUAUAUAAAGCAGCAAGAGAUCCGGCUCUGAAAGCUAUUUUAUUCCCCUUUUCAGUGGGAAGAGUCUUCGCCAUUAGCUCUAUUUGACUCUAAACACAGCCUGGAGACUUCCUGUGUCCCCAGGCACCCAUUUGGCUGGUACCGAUCCAGAAGUACCACUUAAAUUAGUGCCAUGAAUAAGAAGGAAGAAAAUCUGAAAAAUGGGUGAAGUAUGCGCCAAGAAUCUCCCACUUAUUUAUGUCCUCCUAAGGGAAACUGCCUGAGAUGGAGAAAAGAAUUUCGCCGUUCUUGGUAAGAGACUGCUUUGCCCCAGCAUCAAAGUCUUCCUACGACUCUCAUUUAGAGGGAGAUGCCCACAGGAGAGGGAUUAAAGAGGCGCUAAGAGGUACAUUCCUGCUCUGGCAGGGGAUUUCCCCUAACUCGCUGUAGUCCUGCUAACACAAUCUCAUCUUCCCUUAUGGAGAAGGAUGACUCAGUGUGAGCUUUGUUUUCUGCUUGAAUUUAAGCCACGUUGUGUGCAAGGACAGUAUGGCACGGCCCCUGAUUAAUCGCAGAGAGCGUCCGAGCGACUCAGUCGGUUCCGCUCCGACAUGAGCGCAGUUAAAAAACAGACUCCUUCCUCUCCCUGGGGACACAGCCACCAGGACAUGAAGACCUCUGCUUCGAGACAGUCUCACAGGGGCUGGUCUGUAGCCAGAGCCUGGGUAAGAACUCAAGAAAACCCCUGCAUAACGAGGCUGGCAUCAUUUAAUAUGUUUUUAACCUGCUAAUAGCCGGAAGGCAUGGAGACACAGCUGGCUGGCUAGAUCUGAGCAGAGGGCACUGAGCGCCCAGGGAGGGCACAGGGGUGUGAGGCUGCUGCCCUGCCCGGCCCGGCUGGUGGCGAGGGCCUUCUGUUAUGCGUAGCGCAGCUCAAACCACCAAAGGGCCCAGCUUCUCCAUGGCAACCCCAAACAGUCUGUUCAUUCCAGAGGCUACCCUGGCAGCAAAAGUGGACCCAGUGCCAUGCAAUGGUGUCCUUGUGACACACAAUGGGAAGUGCGAAACGCUUCCUGAUUGACCAUCGGCGGCCCUCUGGGAAUGCUCCCAAGGGUGAAGCCAGCCCAGGCAUGGCCAUGGAUGGUCUCAGAGAGUCAGGGGACAGGGAUUUACAGACAGGGAAUCCUAAUUUAUGGGGAACUCAUAAUUUAUGGGCCUGGCAGCCUCCCUGAAAGAGAUGAGGGUUUAGGUGGAAAGAAAAAGUGGGAGGGAUGGCAGAGGCGACGGGUGGGGGGGGAUUCCAUACGAUUCAGCGACUCUGGAGUGGCUGGACUGAAUCUCCUGCUGUGUGUUGAGGACACUGCCCCUCUGUCCCUAGACAAUCAGGGUGCUUCUCCUCUCUUCACUCGGACACACACAGUCACACUCAUGGCCUGGCCAGUGGCUGCCGCCCCCCACCAUCCUACCUGCUCCUUCUUUCUCUGUUUCUGCUCCAUCCAUGCUGGCUGCAGCCUCCCCCAGCUCUGGGUACUGACACCUGCCCACCUUCCCAGGCCCUGGCGCUGAGAGGGCUUGUAGGAGGGACAGAAAGGGGCCGGGCCUGGGAGUCAGAUAUACAGGGAUCUGAACCUGUCCCCUGGAUUUGAGUUGCCUGGGGCAAGUUAGUUAACGUGCAGGAACCUAUUGUCUUAUCUGUAUGGUAGAGACACAAACACCGGCUUUGGAAGGGUUUUAUGGGGAACAAAUGGGGUAAUAUAUGUAAAAGCAAGUGCCACCAGUGAGAGCAGGAGCUUACCUCCCCUGCCCGCAUUCCUCCCUUCCCACAGCCCACUGCGCUCUUCCCUCUGGCCCCCGGAGGGUCCCUCGGUCUGGGCACCUGCACCAGAUGACCUAAGCUAGGAAAAGUGAUCACCAAAGGAGAGGCUAAGAAAGUCCACCAGGAUGUUCCUAACACUCUGUCUCUGUUGUGGUAAACGAUGACUUUAAUUUACAAAGCAGAUGAAUACUAAAUCUUCAUGAAAUUAAAAACUAUAUUAUUUAUGUGAGCGGAAACGGAAAAUGUUCCGUAGCUAGCAGCCAUCCCGCUUUGUAGGAGGAACACUAAAAUAAUUAAAAUCACUCGUGCUUCAGUAAUAAAUAAUGAUAAUAAAUAAAUGUCCUGACCUUAAGCGAAAAUAUAAAAUUAAAACCCAUUUGGUAUGUAAAUUCAUUCAGGAGCUAGCGAGUCUCUCAGCCUAAGACGGUGCGGGAUGGAGGAAGUGUUCCCUACGUGAAUUUUGAAAGGAAAAUCAAAGAACAACAGAGUUGUGUGUGUACCGACUCAUUAUGCUACUUUAAUUCCAUCUAAUGCUGUGUGGAGCCUUGAGGCUGGGACAUUAAUAUCCUGCUUUUUCUGUUUCACCAAUUCCUCGUGGAGACCAGGAGAAAGAAUUUCAAUCCUGGAGGCUGAAAUCAGGGGAGGCCAGAAAAUUGCGGGAGAGGUGGAGAAUGGAAACUUGGGGAGGCAAUUUUUCACGUGUUUGUAGAAAAGAAGCUGGCAAAGAAUGGCCCUGGUGCUGGCUGGGGCUGGGUCCUCGAGGGUUUGGGACACAAAUUAUCCAGGGGGAUGAAAUGUCCCUGGUCUUGGGUCCAGGUGGGAACCAUUCCAGGGCCCCGAGAAGCCGGGCAGGAAGUCUGUGGACUGCCUUUGACUUCAGGAAAAUGCCAACCAGCUCCAGAUGGUGCACACCCCACCCCCCAAAGCCUGACAGCCCAGCGCCCAGCUUUACCAUGAAGUAACUGCAUGUUCCACGAAGCCUGCACACCCUGAAUAAGGCCAGCCCAGGAAACUGCAGGGCAACGUGCCAGACAGAGAAAUCAGAAACUUUCAACCCUGCUGUGUAAUAAAAGGAUGGACCCCCUUUUCACCUUGUCCCCACCUCCACAGCCUGCCUCACCCAGCCUCUCGUUGCAGUCCUAGAACUACCUUGUGAGGGAGCCAGGGCACGCUCCCUGGACCACUGGUCCUGACCCCACGUCCCCUGAAAGGUGUGACAUCCUCCCACCCCCUCACUACUGCCCUAAAGGAGUAGGCGGAGAGGCUGCACCACAGGAAAGACGGACCUCCACACUCUGCUAUCCAAGGGGACCCACAGUCGCCAGCAUCCCGGGGAGCUGGGGCCUUGGGGAGAGCGGAGGCCUGCGGAUCUAUUCAUGCAGAAUCCCCUGUUCUGUCGUCCAAUACAGCGCACCACUCUUCCAGGUGGAAAAGAAGGGAAAAAUCCAACCCAAGUCCUUCAGCGUCUGAAUGACUCCAAACCAUCCAGGUUUGUAAACAAAACACUGGGAUAAAUGACUGAUUUUCUCCACUUUUGAAUCUCAGACAUUAAAACUCAUUGAACCAUCAACAAGCCACCAACAAGGUCCUCUGAUGACACAUGUUCUUUCUCCAGCUUGGUGACAAUCUCCUCCAUGUACUCCUGGGGGCUUAGGGAGCCCUGCCUCCCAUAGCAGAUCUGUGGCCCCCUCCCAAUCCGCUAGGGAGCUCAAGUGCCCUCCUGCUCCUGCGUGCUAAUUUCUGUGUGACUCCACGAAGGACACAAAGACAAAGACAGCCACAGCACGCAAGCAGAGAAGAAAGGCCCUGACGGGGUCAGGGGGAGCCAGGAAAAUAGCCUUAAAAACCUACAAAGCCAAACGGUGGAAAUUUCCUAGAAAAGCCUUCCAGGUGAGGCAUGAAGCUCUGGACCAGCAUGCCAGCGGGGAGAGGCCACUGGCUAACCUGCAGAUUAGGGAGGCUCCCAUAUCCCUUUGAGGGCCAGAAGAGGGCCCCUUUCUCCCAACGGUAAAGAAGCCUCUCCUCUUGGCUGUCCCUGAGAAGGAGUGAGGUCGCCUUGAGAUCUCUGUUUUUCCCUCUCAUUUGGGCAUAUAAGCCAUACCCCUGGCAUGUCCGCUCUGGAAAGGGGACUGAUUAUUCCUGCUAACAGGCCUUUGUGACCCCAAAGCAGGGGCCGACCGCAAGGCAAACCUGGGCUGCAGCUGUCCAAGCAGGGGCCUGAGCGGAUCUCUGUGCUCCUCAAGAGGCCUCGGGCCUGCUGCCGUGUGGAAUCCGGGCCCCUCUCUGGGCUCACCUGCCGCCCCCGCCCUGCUCCCAGGUCAGAGCAUGCUUGUGCAGCUGCCCUAGGAUACCAAGGACAGCUCCAGGAGGCUGGGUUCAGAGACACCUGGCUCAGCUGCCAGGACUCCUGGGUCUUUGGGUCAAAGUGACCUGGAGCUUUGGAUGGGCAGCAUGGGGCUCAAUGUGGAAAUCAAUUCCCCUGGGACUAAAGAUACUGCCCCCUCUUCCUUGUCUCCCCAGAGCUCCCAUCAUACAGCUUAAUGCCCCAGGCUUCUAACACCCUUCUGAGCCCCUGGCCAUGUCUCUUUUGUGAAGCCUAUGGCUGCCACGGGCCAGCUGGGACCACUGUCCUCUGAUGAGGAUAGAACUCUCCCCAGGAUGCUUCUCUAACUCCUUUUUUUCCACAGCAGUGAGUAGGCGUGGGCUGGCUCAAGUAGGUGCUCAACAAACACCCACUCAUUCACCUAACAUUUACCAAAAACCUUCCACGCUCUGAGCCCAGAGGGCCCAAGAACAGCUCAGAGGCUGGAGUGGACAGGUGCCGAGGGAAGUAGUUUGGGGGAAAGUCAAGAGUCCUUGUUUCUCCACUGGACACCGACUGAGGACUUGUGUGUGUCAGACUCAGGAGAGAGAGGAGGGAAGGGUCAUCCCACCUUUGGGGGGGCGGGGGAGGGGGAGGGUUGACAGGAAAGCCUUCAGGGAGGAGAGGUUUUGAGAGGGGAGUGAAUGUCCCCUGGGUAGGAGGAGUGAUGGGGCUACUUCAGGAAGAGGAAGGAGUGAGGGCAAAGGCUGAAAGGAACCUGCAUAGAGAAUGCCACGCUGCUCCCAGGUGGCCGCCCAGUAGGCAGGUGAAAGGAUGAGGGACAGCUGAUGAGGCUGGAGCACAACGAGGAGGGCAGUCCACCCUGAGCGAGGAGGGGUCUCUGGAGGGUGGGGAGACAGGCUGAGGGGACAGGGACAGGAUGCCGGGAGACCCAUUCAGGGGCCUUUACAGUGAUCCAGGGGAGUCUGGAUGAGGACCUUGACCGGCACGGUGGGCACGGGGAUGGAGAGGAGGGGAUGGAUGAUGGGGAGAAUUUAACAUGUUGAAUUGACAGUGAUGAGCCAAUGGCUGUGGGGGGUAAGGGAGAGGGAGGAGUCAGGGAUGAUCCCUGGGCUGGACGUGGGCGUCCAGGUCAGGAAAUCCAGCAGCCAGGCUACAUGGAAGAUGAAGUAAGGCUGAGCUGCUCACUGGCGCCCAAGGCUUUGCCCAGGCAGCAGCUGGUUGUGUGGACUGGGAGCCCAGAGAAAGGGCUGGCCUGGAGGUGGGGGGGAUGCGGGAGCCCCAGACUCUGUCCCAGCUCUGUCCUUUCCCCUUUCAGUCCACUCUCCCACGUGGCAGCCAGAGGGGUCCAAUUCAAAUGCCCCAGGGACACCGGCCUCUCACCUGCUCCUUGCGCAGGCCGGGCACACUUCUCCCUCAGGGCCUUCGCACUUCUUCAUCCUCUGCCUCGAAUGCUCCUGCCCAGAUAUCCACGUGGCUCCCCGCUUUCUUCAGGCCUUUGUUCAGGUGUCACCUAAACAGGCUCUUAGUAUCGCAGCCCACCUCCGCUCCAGCCUGGAUCUCUCUGACUUCCUUCCUGGCUUUAUUUCUCGGGAGCACUUUUCACCAGCUGACAUUUAUUUAUUUGUUUUCUCAUCUGUCUCCAUCCAUUGGCAUGGAAGUUCCAAUAAAGCAGGGAUAUUUGUUCUGAUUAAGCACAUAGUAGGUACUAAAUAAAUGUUUUAUUUAGUGAAUGAAUGAAUAAGUUAGUGUUCUCUGGCUGGCCCUGCCUCCACCUCCACUGAAUACAAGAUGCCUUGGUUUGCCGCUAACUUAGAGCUGUGCCCUCCUAGCCUCGCACUGGUCUGGGUCUUAGGUCCCUGAAUGGCUACUCAGGACCCUGGGUUCCAGGCGGCCUGGACUUCGGAUGCUGCCCCUGCAGCCGAGGCGUUGAAAUGCAGCCUCCCUGUGGGUGGGGACCUCAGCACGCGCGUGCGGCCACCCUCAGGCCUCACGUAGGUCUGCAGAGGAAUGCAGAGCCUGGGCAGGACGCCUGGAGUUUGGACAGAAUUUAUUGCUCUGAAGGCUCCUUGAGUUUUAAGGUCUUAAACAUCAACCCACAUACUUUGGCAGAGGCAGAUGCAAAAAAUAAAACCCAAAACCUACAGGAAACAAUCUGGGGAGAGCUGGAGGGGGAGUGUGAAAUGGUCAAAACAUAUGGGCCAAAGCCUGAAUAAACAGCAGAAGGGCCAGCCCAGUCUAGGGCCUUUGAGAGAAAACAUCACAAUUUAGAAUGCUGCUUGGGAAGAGGCAGAAAACUCUAGAAUGUAAUCUUCCUUCAAGGCUGCAUCUCUUGCUGGUACUAGGGCAGGUAAAAUACAAGAGGAAUCAAAUAGAAAAGGUGACAAGAGGCAAGAGAGGCCUUGGAGCCAGGAGACCCAGCCAUACAGUUAGCUUUGCCAUAGAUGCUGUGUGACCUUGGACAUGUCCCUUCCCUCCCUAGGCCUUUGUUUUUGUCUGUAAAGUGAGAGGUUUGAACACUGGGCCUUCUGGCUCUGCUGGCUGUUCCAUUUCUUAGUAUUUAGGCGGCCUCCUUCAGAACGGCCAGCUAGGCUCACCCAGCAUGCCAGAUGCAUCCCCUUGCAAGUUAUCACAAUAUGGUAGGACCCAGAAUGUCCACAGUUGUUCAGUGCACAGCUUGUACGGCUGUACAUGGCAGCCUCAUUUGCCCUGCACUGUAGACACCAGCAUCCCUUGUAAAGACCACCAAGCCCCGAUAUUUGGGAAGGCUCCUUGAGAACUGUUGUGGGUCAUGGCGGUACUGGAUUUAGCUUCUGGACUGUGUAGCAUCCAGAUGGCUGCCGGGUUGGCCCUGCUUUGCUCAACUCAAAUUUUUCUCUGAAGCUGAAAGGCAAAGCUUGUUUUCCUGCAGGUCCCAAAUGUGCCUUCUGUCUGUUGACCCUUGUGCUGCAUCCAGCAGGGGUUUUAGAGUUCUUCCUUCGUUGGAGUCUGGGCCAAGGCUGCUCAACUUGGCUCCCACUUAAAAGGUGACCUGGAUUGACAUUGCUGCAUUUCCCAUCUCUGCCUGCAGUAGUGCAGAGCAAAGCUGAGCUGAGGUGGGAGGGUGGGCAGGAUUCCAGCGUAAGCCCCCAAGGCCCACAGCUCCAGGGCGGCCCCACAGGCUCGGGGCCUCUCCUCUGCCUGGACACGCCCGGGCCACCCUAUUAAUAGACCAGCUCGGAGAGCACUGCCUCCCUCGGAGUUUCCAUUUCACUUGCACUACAUCUGGCUGUCCCAGUGGGGACAGCUUCCUUGCAAAACAAACAGCAGAAUCAAUAUUUCCUUCACCGGGGGAGGGGUCGGGGCUUCAGAUGGCAGGCCAGGCCCUCUCUCUACUCCUGCUGGCUGGGUUCAAGGAAAGCGGCAAACAGGCCGCCAGGCCCUUUUCUGCCUCAGUUCAGCGAUUUGAUUACAUUAAAUUAACAGACAUUUGUCGAGCACCUUCAACAUAUCAAACCCCACGGGGCGCAAGGGAGAGAAAGAUGAAUAAGACACGUCCUGGGCCCUGGAGGAGUGCACGUGUUGCAGGAGACAGACACCUAAACGAAGAGUUAUGGUGGAUGUGGAAGCGGGGCAGACAGGGUAAGGCCAGGAGGACCAGCGUCUGAAACCAUCCGUCUUGGGGCACAGUCGGUGCCUGACACAAAGGCGAACCAGACCUGCAACGCCCCCCAGCGUUCACGGCCUGGCUGUGCGGACACUGUCUCCCAGGUCACUGUUGAGGUGGCCCCCCAAUCCCCAGGCCUGACAGGAGAGCUCUGCGCGUGGUGGUGGCGGCUCCUCCCGGGGACUGGAGGGGCUCUGGGCCAGGCCCAGCACCAAUUCUCUCUGCCUCCUCUGGGUAUCCUCCAGUCCACCUGCUGGGACAGCCUGGAACAACCCCGGCCUCCACUCUCAGUGCAUGAAAGUCCUGGGGAGCUCGUUAAAAAUGCAAAUCUAGGCCACAGCCCUAGAGGUUCAGAAUCAAUAAACUUUGGUUGGAGGAGUGGCUGCAUCUGGGAAUCUGCCUGUUAGAGAGGCAUUGUGGGCAGGGGCCAGGGGCAUUCACACCCCCUCAGCCCUUGCCACCCACCCCCCUGGCAUGGGAGUCAGUCAGCUUUUGAUGAAUGAAAUGUUGAAGGAUGAUUCUCUCAGGGUGAGACGGUGGGGGGUGCAAAACUGACUCCAGGCCCCCUGGCCUCUAGGGCUGGCCUCUCCACCCCACAAAUCUGCAUGUGCAGGCCUGGCUCCGCGAAGCCUUCCGUGAUGUUCCACCGACGGGAUUUUUCCCAGCUCUGCACUUAAAGACCUCAAUGUCAACAGAACGUGAGGGUGUGAGUGUGUGUUGUGUGUGUGUCUUUUAUCAGAAUCCUGGGUGCAAGAAGGAUCCAAAUCCCACAUUCCUAAAAGAUCUGAAUACAUCCCAACCCCCUACUACUCGCUGUCCCUCAGGGAUCACGAGAGAUCUGAGGGUGACGGGGACAGUGGCCCCCGGACCUACCAUCAGCUGUGUGCCCCCUUGAAGGAUCUCUGGUGUUUCUGUCUGUUUGUUUAACCUGCUGGCUGGCUGGCCUAUCCUGACGGCCCCCUGGGCUCCACCAUGGCCAGGGUCCACGUUGGCCUCACCCCGAGGUGUCCAGGGCCGAGUCCUGCUGAGGGCCGGGUCUGGGCCAGCACCAAGCGGACCUCAGCAGACCCGUCCCUAGACCCCAGGCUGCUCCGGACGCUGCCUGUGCAUGUACUGGCCUCACAAACAGUGCGCUGCCCAGCGCGAGGCAAAGGUGUGCAAAGCGGAGCCUCUUUCAAAGGAAGCCAGUCAGGAAUUUGGGAUUCAGAGAGUUUCUCCAUUUCAGAGGGAUGGAGAUGCCCCGCAUACACGGUCUCAUUUUUGUUCACAAGCUGGGAGUCAGUGUGACCGCUUAGCAAAGGUUGGAGUGGAUUGCUCUGUCUCCCCUAAAGACAGUUCCAUGAGAACAGCCUCUGUUCCUGAGAGCCUCCGCAGGACUGAUCACAAACAUCAUGGGGAGUGAGAAGCCCCGAGGCACCACUGUCGUGGUGUGGAGAAGAAAACCACAUAGAAGGGAAAACAGACUCGCCUAUGGGGGCAGCACGAGUCUCCAAGGCCCUGGUGCUGAGGCAGGCAGGGGAGGCCUGGGCGUGGGCGGGUCUGGAGCACCCUUGGAGCUCUGGCCCGGCAGCAGGUGGGAGGGGUGGGAGAGGGUGAGCUGGUGAGGGAUGCUGAGGCCCCAGGACAUAGCCUCCUCGGCCUGCUCCCAGUGGGCAGUGUGCUUUCCCACCGGACAAAGGGGGAGCUCCGGGCCUCAUGUGGCCUCUUACCAAUUCAGCCUCCCUUCCAUGGCCCACUUGGUGUCCAGCUUUGUGCCAGGCUAGGCCGUGGGGAGGCCAGGAGGAGGAGCAGGCCCUGCCACUGGGUCCCCACGGAGGGGAUGGGUCAAGCCCACAGCACCUGGUGGGGAUUCGGACAUGCCGAGUUGUCCGAGGUUUCUGUGAAGACUGACUGGAGGGUAUGGGAUCCCCACAGUGGGAUCCGGAAGACAGGUAGGGUUGGGGUGAGCGGAAGGCUGGUGAGAGGGCACUUCAGAAAUAAACCACCACAGAAGAACAGGCCGGAAGACACGCAAGAAAAACGUUACAACGGGGCCAACACAGGCUGUUCCUUCUCGAGCCCCUGAAUUUUCAGUUAAUAAAAACUAGGCCGCUUUCCCUGCGCUUGUGUCAGGAUUCGGCGUGGCACAAGAAUGAGAGAGACCACCUGGACUUUAGACCCUGGGCACGGAGCAGCUUAGCCGGCAUGUUUUAGGAUAAUAAAAGAGCCUAAUGGAGAAGCAGUGCCUCCUUACCCUAGAGCUCUGAUUAAACUCUGGAAUAUGGGUGACACGUACACCGAGGAGGACACAGUGCGGUUAGAAUUCUGCCAGCAAACAUUCUAAAAUAUUCAUGAAACACGGGACUAGGCCUGACUGUUAACACUGCAACUGGUUCCCUCCAAUGGAGUGACAAAUGGGCGCCAAACAUCGUCAUCUGUCCCUUUGAUGGUUCCAGGUCCCACCAGAGAGGGGAGGGGGCCUCGGGCGGCCCAGGGAGGCUGCAGAGGAGGGGCCCCAGCCGAGCUCUCCCCGUGGCUUCUAUUUCCGUGUAAGAGGGCAAGGGAACAGUGAAUUUCUUCAGACUCGGAGGCAAAAUAAUUGAUUCUCCAAGUCUUACUCCAUCAAAAGUGAUUAGUGGGGGGGCCCUGGGGAUUCCACGACACCACACUAACCUCCUCGCUGAAAGGAGCAUUGUUAAAUACACAAAUCUCAACAAACGGCAGAGGCAAAAAGCAAAACGGCUAAAAAAAGUAAAUUGGCCUGCGAAAGAAAAUAAGGAGGAAGAGAAUAAAAUGAACUCCUGGCUUUCCUGGUUAAGAGCUUCUUCAGAGCUUCUAGACAUGCUGAGAGGGAACCACAGAGCAAAAUUGCUGCAAUUUAACAGGGCAUCUAAUUAGAAGCAGCAACAUGAAGGGCCUUUUCUUCCUGCUCUGGAUUUUGCUUCUUUCUAUGCAGGGUUCAGAAGUAUGACAACUCGAGGACAAAGAGCUAUGUCCCCAAAUAAGAAGAAGGAGCAUAUCAGCUACUGAAUUACUGGUUUUUAUAUCCUUCGUCCAACAAAGGUGGCCGAGGCAUGCUAUGUGCCAGCUGCUAUGCUAGAGCGGAGGUGACAGAGAGGAAUAAGACACUGGCAGCACCCGUUGGGGAAAGAGAAAGAGUUUAGACAACUAAAAUACAGUGUUGAGUGUGCUAAGGCACUGGGGCACGCACCUCCUUAGGAGGGGCGGAUAAGCCAAGCACAAGGCCCCUCUCCCUCCUCCCCGAUUGGCAAAGUGGACAUUCCAUGCAAACAUCUUAUUAUCUCGACUUAGAAAGGGAACACUUUCAAGGUGCAGGGGAUGAGGAGUGACUGCUGAAUGAGUCUGGGUUUCCUUUUGGGCUGAUGAAAAUGUUCUCGAACUGGAGAGUGAUGAUGGUUACAAACCUUGUGAAUGUACUAAACGCCGUAGAAUUGUGCACUUGAAAGUGGUGAAUUAUAGGCUUAUGUAUAUUUUACCAUAAUUUUUAAAAAGUAACAUUUUCUGAGUCACAUUCAAGUGAAGCUUUGCUUCCAGCUUCAAAGGUUCCUCGACAAUCCCUGAGACGGAGGCGGGGUGGGCGGGCAUACUGAGCCGGUGAAGCCUUCCCAGAGGCUUGCCACUCACUGUCCCUCUGCUCAGUCCCGGCUCCCGGCUGGGCUUCACCAUCAGAGGAGGAAGGAGCCCAUCAAGCCGCAUCACAGCUGCCCUCUGAAAGGCCACCGAGAACUGCUCCCAACAGCAGAGUCUCCGGAGCUUUUCCUGGUCUAAUUUUAAACUCUCUCCGGUGGCAGAGCCACUGCAGAGCUUCUCCUCCUCUUGAGAAGAGUCUGCUAUUGUGUGGAAGUUCCUUUCUGGGAAGGUGGCUGGUGGGCUUGGCACAGUCUCCUUUCUAUCGCCCCUCGAUGAUGUCUCCCGACACCAGCGUCCAGUUUCCAGUUACCCAUGGGUCGCCUCCUCUUGGUGAGGGAGUUCACCAAGCCAAAGAUCUGGGGAGGCUGCUGGGGUGGGGAGGAGAAUGAGAGGAGGUGGAAAUGGAGCUUUCCUCAGAUUUGGCAGAGACUCCCAGCCAGAUUCUUCCCUUGAAUUUGAACUUAGCCACUCAGCACUAAACGCAUCAUCUGACUCUCCCCACUUCCCGUGACUGUGCAAAUAUUUAGCUUCACCUUCAUGCAGCCGGCGGUCCAUCUGUUAACAGGCUGGCCAGACAGGGGCCUGGUGGCACGGACCUGACCCAGAACUGCCAUGUUGCUGAGCGCUCGGAAGAACCGCCCUGACCUUUAAAGGCGCUGUUUCUCGGGAGCAGUCGCUUGCAGACUCGCCCAGCUGAGCCAAUCUAUUCAUUCAUUUGGCUUCCUGAGGUCCUCUCCGCAUCCCUCCGCAUACUGUGCCCACUCGGAUGGCCACUUCUUGCCGUGGGGGUCCCGUAGGUACCAUGGUCUGCGUCUUCCACUUCACCUCCUUGUUUGAGGCUGAAUGUCACUUCCUAUGCCAGGUGGUGUGGUCUUUGACUUUCUCUGUCCCCGGCUCAGCCUCUGGGCCUGAGGACUUGCCCCAGCACUGCCAGCUUGGGGUUGCAGUGUCGCCAUGGGCUUGGAGGGACAUGAUUAGCUCGUAUGGUUCAUGUGUUCCUCCAAAGAGAUUAAACCCAUGUCAUUAAAUCACUUCCAAGAUGUAA